AACAGCUUCGUCUCUCUGUGCCA
rnacentral:siRNA from 1 species